UGCAAGUCGAACGAACUCUUCGGAGUUAGUGGCGCACGGGUGCGUAACGCGUGGGAAUCUGCCCUUGGGUACGGAAUAACUCAGAGAAAUUUGUGCUAAUACCGUAUAAUGUCUUCGGACCAAAGAUUUAUCGCCCAAGGAUGAGCCCGCGUAAGAUUAGCUAGUUGGUGGGGUAAAAGCCUACCAAGGCGACGAUCUUUAGCUGGUCUGAGAGGAUGAUCAGCCACACUGGGACUGAGACACGGCCCAGACUCCUACGGGAGGCAGCAGUGGGGAAUAUUGGACAAUGGGCGAAAGCCUGAUCCAGCAAUGCCGCGUGAGUGAUGAAGGCCUUAGGGUUGUAAAGCUCUUUUACCCGGGAUGAUAAUGACAGUACCGGGAGAAUAAGCUCCGGCUAACUCCGUGCCAGCAGCCGCGGUAAUACGGAGGGAGCUAGCGUUGUUCGGAAUUACUGGGCGUAAAGCGCGCGUAGGCGGUCUUUUAAGUCAGAGGUGAAAGCCCGGGGCUCAACCCCGGAAUAGCCUUUGAAACUGGAAGACUUGAAUCUUGGAGAGGUCAGUGGAAUUCCGAGUGUAGAGGUGAAAUUCGUAGAUAUUCGGAAGAACACCAGUGGCGAAGGCGACUGACUGGACAAGUAUUGACGCUGAGGUGCGAAAGCGUGGGGA
rnacentral:rRNA from 1 species